GAAUGAAAGUUGGAGUUUUUGUUCUGCUCUGGCUGUACCUAUCAGUUUCAAAACUGGAAUAGUUUAAAUGACUAAAGUACUAGGAAGAUUUUAUUACUUAAUAUAACUAUGGAGAACUGACCAAGAUUUUAUCUAGGGGGAGGAGUAUCACCCUACAGAGCAGACUUUAAGGGACAUUAUGAGAGAAAACAGUUACUUAGUGAUUUAAUGUUGCCAAUUCUGUUCUUUAGAAUACCAUCAUGUAUUUAUAUCCCUAUAUAUCACAUAACUAAAAUAUACAUUUAUCUGUACGCGUGUGUAUCAUAUGGAGCACAUUUUCUUUUGCAGGGUUUCUUUGUUUUAAAUGUCUAUUUGGUUAUUUUCUUGAUUGAAUUUCUGUGUAUGCUUUUUUCCUCAAUGCUUUAGCUGUAAGCGAAUAAGUGACAGAGCUCCUUGCUGCUCAAAUUUUAUGCCAGAUAAAAUAUUCACCUUCUCGGACUCCCUGGCACCAGGCAUGGCCAUGUAAUCCUACAGCACAGCUGAUGAAAGAGAAGACAUCUUGCUGCUAUUUGACAAGCAAGAAGAUAAAAGCUUUCCUAUAAAGAUGAUGGAGCAAAAAAAUAGAAGGGGCCUAGACUCCCUACCUUCACACUUCCUGCUAUAAAAGCAUUGCUAUUAUAAGGUUAAUCUGCAGAAACAGACUUCUAUGUCAUAUGCUUAAAUGCAUCAAAAUUCAUACAAUAUCCAUUAAAUUGGUAAAAGUAUCCAUUUUAAAGGAUUAAUCUGAGGGACCCACAGACACUUAACACAAUCAAAUCUCAGAAAAAAAAUCAGUUAUUUCAUUGUGAUUUUGAGGCUGAUCUUUUAUGAUCUUUUAGUUA
rnacentral:lncRNA from 1 species